GCGGCCUAUCAGCUUGUUGGUGGGGUAAUGGCCUACCAAGUCUACGAUCUAUAGCUGGUUUUAGAGGAUGAUCAGCAACACUGGGACUGAGACACGGCCCAGACUCCUACGGGAGGCAGCAGUGGGGAAUAUUGCACAAUGGGGGAAACCCUGAUGCAGCCAUGCCGCGUGUGUGAAGAAGGCCUUCGGGUUGUAAAGCACUUUCAGCGAGGAGGAAAGGGAUGUAGUUAAUAACUGCAUUCUGUGACGUUACUCGCAGAAGAAGCACCGGCUAACUUCGUGCCAGCAGCCGCGGUAAUACGAGGGGUGCAAGCGUUAAUCGGAAUUACUGGGCGUAAAGCGCACGCAGGCGGUUUGUUAAGCUAGAUGUGAAAGCCCCGGGCUCAACCUGG
rnacentral:rRNA from 1 species